AUUGAACGCUGGCGGCAGGCCUAACACAUGCAAGUCGAGCGGGGUUUUCGGACCUAGCGGCGGACGGGUGAGUAAUGCGUAGGAAGCUACCCGAUAGAGGGGGAUACCAGUUGGAAACGACUGUUAAUACCGCAUAAUGUCUACGGACCAAAGUGUGGACCUUCGGGCCACAUGCUAUCGGAUGCGCCUACGUGGGAUUAGCUAGUUGGUGGGGUAAUGGCUCACCAAGGCGACGAUCCCUAGCUGGUUUGAGAGGAUGAUCAGCCACACUGGAACUGAGACACGGUCCAGACUCCUACGGGAGGCAGCAGUGGGGAAUAUUGGACAAUGGGCGCAAGCCUGAUCCAGCCAUGCCGCGUGCGUGAAGAAGGCCUUCGGGUUGUAAAGCACUUUCAGUAGGGAGGAAGGGUGUUGUGUUAAUAGCACAGCAUUUUGACGUUACCUACAGAAGAAGCACCGGCUAACUCUGUGCCAGCCGCCGCGUAACAC
rnacentral:rRNA from 1 species